rnacentral:lncRNA from 1 species
GUUGUUUCAGGAGCUCAGCGCUCCAUCUGCUUGUAACCAUCCUCUGUGGAGGUCACCAUCCCCUCAAUAUCUGCUGAGUGAGCUGCUCACACGAUCAUGCCCUCACCCAUCUCUGUCAAAACAAGACAGAUAACGAUUUAUGGCUUUAUGCUAUGCAGUGUGAGAAACGCAUUUUCUGCUAUAAUGAGUGGAAACCUGGAUCUUCACUGCUGCUCAGGGUCUGCCUUUUUAUCUGCACUGUGUGGUUCAUGGUAUGUUUCAUCCUUCUCCUCCUUCCCCUUUUC